AUACUUACCUGGACGGGGUCUAUGGGCGAUCAAGAAGGCUCAUGGCCUAAGCCAAUGGCCUCCAUUGCACGUUGGAGGAGCAUUGGCUUACCAUCUCCCCAAGUGGGAGAGUGGACGUCAUAAUUUGUGAUAGGGGGGUACGCGCACGCGCGGCCCCUAC
rnacentral:snRNA from 15 species